GACGAACGCUGGCGGCGUGCUUAACACAUGCAAGUCGAACGGAAAGGCCCUGCUUUUGUGGGGUGCUCGAGUGGCGAACGGGUGAGUAACACGUGAGUAACCUGCCCUUGACUUUGGGAUAACUUCAGGAAACUGGGGCUAAUACCGGAUAGGAGCUCCUGCUGCAUGGUGGGGGUUGGAAAGUUUCGGCGGUUGGGGAUGGACUCGCGGCUUAUCAGCUUGUUGGUGGGGUAGUGGCUUACCAAGGCUUUGACGGGUAGCCGGCCUGAGAGGGUGACCGGCCUCAUUGGGACUGAGAUAGGGCCCAGACUCCUACGGGAGGCAGCAGUGGGGAAUAUUGCACAAUGGGCGGAAGCCUGAUGCAGCAACGCCGCGUGCGUGAUGACGGCCUUCGGGUUGUAAACCGCUUUCGCCUGUGACGAAGCGUGAGUGACGGUAAUGGGUAAAGAAGCACCGGCUAACUACGUG
rnacentral:rRNA from 1 species